rnacentral:rRNA from 1 species
UACAGAGGUCUCAAGCGUUGUUCGGAUUCAUUGGGCGUAAAGGGUGCGUAGGUGGCGCCGUAAGUCGGGUGUGAAAUUUCGGAGCUUAACUCCGAAACUGCAUUCGAUACUGCCGUGCUUGAGGACUGGAGAGGAGACUGGAAUUUACGGUGUAGCGGUGAAAUGCGUAGAUAUCGUAAGGAAGACCAGUGGCGAAGGCGGGUCUCUGGACAGUUCCUGACGCUGAGGCACGAAGGCCCAGGGGAGCAAACGGG